CCUGACUGCUAUCGGAUUGAUACUAAGCCAUGCGAGUCUUUGUAGUAAUACAAGGCAGACGGCCCAGUAACACGUAGUCAACCUACCCUAUGGACGAGAAUAAUCUCGGGAAACUGAGCAUAAUUCUCGAUAGAUCAUAAUGCCUGGAAUGGUUUAUGGUUAAAAUGAUUCGUCGCCAUAGGAUGGGACUGCGGCCUAUCAGCUUGUUGGUGAGGUAAUGGCCCACCAAGGCGAUUACAGGUACGGGCUCUGAGAGGAGAAGCCCGGAGAUGGGUACUGAGACACGGACCCAGGCCCUAUGGGGCGCAGCAGGCGAGAAAACUUUGCAAUGUGCGAAAGCACGACAAGGUUAAUCCGAGUGAUUUCUGCUAAAGAAAUCUUUUGUUAGUCAUAAAACCACUGACGAAUAAGGGGUGGGCAAGUUCUGGUGUCAGCCGCCGCGGUAAAACCAGCACCUCAAGUGGUCAGGAGAAUUAUUGGGCCUAAAGCAUCCGUAGCCGGUUCUCUAAGUUUUUGGUUAAAUCUAUGUGCUCAACACAUAGGCUGCCAAAAAUACUGGGGAACUAGGGAGUGGGAGAGGUAGACGGUACUUGAUAGGAAGGGGUAAAAUCUUUUGAUCUAUCGAUGACCACCUGUGGCGAAGGCGGUCUACCAGAACACGUUCGACGGUGAGGGAUGAAAGCUGGGGGAGCAAACCGGAUUAGAUACCCGGGUAGUCCCAGCUGUAAACGAUGCAGACUCGAUGAUGCAUUGGCAUAUAGCCAGUGCAGUAUCGCAGGGAAGCCGUUAAGUCUGCCGCCUGGGAAGUACGUACGCAAGUAUGAAACUUAAAGGAAUUGGCGGGGGAGCACCACAAGGGGUGAAGCCUGCGGUUC
rnacentral:rRNA from 1 species